rnacentral:rRNA from 1 species
AAUCCUGGCUCAGGAUGAACGCUAGCGACAGGCUUAACACAUGCAAGUCGAGGGGCAGCACAGGUAGCAAUACCGGGUGGCGACCGGCGCACGGGUGAGUAACGCGUAUGCAACUUACCUAUCAGAGGGGGAUAACCCGGCGAAAGUCGGACUAAUACCGCAUGAAGCAGGGGUCCCGCAUGGGGAUAUUUGCUAAAGAUUCAUCGCUGAUAGAUAGGCAUGCGUUCCAUUAGGCAG